AGUGAACGCUGGCGGUAGGCCUAACACAUGCAAGUCGAACGGCAGCACAGUAAGAGCUUGCUCUUACGGGUGGCGAGUGGCGGACGGGUGAGGAAUACAUCGGAAUCUACUUUUUCGUGAGGGAUAACGUAGGGAAACUUACGCUAAUACCGCAUACGAUCUACGGGUGAAAGCUGGGGAUCUUCGGACCUUGCGCGAUUGAAUGAGCCGGUGUCGGAUUAGCUAGUUGGCGGGGUAAAGGCCCACCAAGGCGACGAUCCGAAGCUGGUCUUAGAGGAUGGUCAGCCACACGGGAACUGAGACACGGUCCAGACUCCUACGGGAGGCAGCAGUGGGGAAUAUUGCACAAUGGGCGCAAGCCUGAUCCAGCCAUACCGCGUGGGUGAAGAAGGCCUUCGGGUUGUAAAGCCCUUUUGUUGGGAAAGAAAAGCAGCAGGUUAAUACCCCGCUGUUCUGACGGUACCCAAAGAAUAAGCACCGGCUAACUUCGUG
rnacentral:rRNA from 1 species